rnacentral:rRNA from 1 species
GACGAACGCUGGCGGCGUGCUUAACACAUGCAAGUCGAGCGGUAAGGCCCUUUCGGGGUACGACGAGCGGCGAACGGGUGGAGUAACAACGUGGGUGGACCUCGCCCUCCAGCUCUGGGAGUAAGCCUCGGGAAACCGGGGUACGUAAUACCGGAUAUGACUCCAUGACGCAUGUUGUGGGGUGGAAAGCCUUGUGCGGCUGAGGAUGGGCCCGCGGCCUAUCAGCUUGUUGGUGGGGUGAUGGCCUACCAAGGCGACGACGGGUAGCCGGCCUGAGAGGGCGACCGGCCACACUGGGGACUGAGACACGGCCCAGACUCCUACGGGAGGCAGCAGUGGGGAAUCUUGCGCAAUGGGCGAAAGCCUGACGCAGCGACGCCGCGUGAGGGAUGACGGCCU